rnacentral:rRNA from 1 species
GAUGAACGCUGGCGGCGUGCCUAAUACAUGCAAGUCGAGCGAACGGACGAGAAGCUUGCUUCUCUGAUGUUAGCGGCGGACGGGUGAGUAACACGUGGAUAACCUACCUAUAAGACUGGGAUAACUUCGGGAAACCGGAGCUAAUACCGGAUAAUAUUUUGAACCGCAUGGUUCAAAAGUGAAAGACGGUCUUGCUGUCACUUAUAGAUGGAUCCGCGCUGCAUUAGCUAGUUGGUAAGGUAACGGCUUACCAAGGCAACGAUGCAUAGCCGACCUGAGAGGGUGAUCGGCCACACUGGAACUGAGACACGGUCCAGACUCCUACGGGAGGCAGCAGUAGGGAAUCUUCCGCAAUGGGCGAAAGCCUGACGGAGCAACGCCGCGUGAGUGAUGAAGGUCUUCGGAUCGUAAAACUCUGUUAUUAGGGAAGAACAUAUGUGUAAGUAACUGUGCACAUCUUGACGGUACCUAAUCAGAAAGCCACGGCUAACUACGUGCCAGCAGCCGCGGUAAUACGUAGGUGGCAAGCGUUAUCCGGAAUUAUUGGGCGUAAAGCGCGCGUAGGCGGUUUUUUAAGUCUGAUGUGAAAGCCCACGGCUCAACCGUGGAGGGUCAUUGGAAACUGGAAAACUUGAGUGCAGAAGAGGAAAGUGGAAUUCCAUGUGUAGCGGUGAAAUGCGCAGAGAUAUGGAGGAACACCAGUGGCGAAGGCGACUUUCUGGUCUGUAACUGACGCUGAUGUGCGAAAGCGUGGGGAUCAAACAGGAUUAGAUACCCUGGUAGUCCACGCCGUAAACGAUGAGUGCUAAGUGUUAGGGGGUUUCCGCCCCUUAGUGCUGCAGCUAACGCAUUAAGCACUCCGCCUGGGGAGUACGACCGCAAGGUUGAAACUCAAAGGAAUUGACGGGGACCCGCACAAGCGGUGGAGCAUGUGGUUUAAUUCGGAGCAACGCGAAGAACCUUACCAAAUCUUGACAUCCUUUGACAACUCUAGAGAUAGAGCCUUCCCCUUCGGGGGACAAAGUGACAGGUGGUGCAUGGUUGUCGUCAGCUCGUGUCGUGAGAUGUUGGGUUAAGUCCCGCAACGAGCGCAACCCUUAAGCUUAGUUGCCAUCAUUAAGUUGGGCACUCUAAGUUGACUGCCGGUGACAAACCGGAGGAAGGUGGGGAUGACGUCAAAUCAUCAUGCCCCUUAUGAUUUGGGCUACACACGUGCUACAAUGGACAAUACAAAGGGCAGCGAAACCGCGAGGUCAAGCAAAUCCCAUAAAGUUGUUCUCAGUUCGGAUUGUAGUCUGCAACUCGACUACAUGAAGCUGGAAUCGCUAGUAAUCGUAGAUCAGCAUGCUACGGUGAAUACGUUCCCGGGUCU